AAUAGUCUUAUGGGAAAUGUAGUCCAUCUGGUCAUAGGCUUAGAGCUGGGAGGAGCUGGAAAGCCUAAUGCAUUUUUAUCUUUUGAAAUAAAUGUUUCAAUUUUAUUUUGCCUCUUAGGAGAUGUAGUCCACCUGGCCAUAGGAUUUAGGGCUGGAAGGACUUCAGAAGUCUAAUGCAUUUUUAACUUUCGAAAAAACUUUUACUUAAGUUUAAAAAAAUUAUUUCAAAAAUAUUUCUUGAAAAAUAAAUUGUAUUUCGUUUUUCCAUCGCCAACAUUUACCAGAAUAUUUUUCCCUUCUUCUUGUCCCCAAGAGCCAUCCCUUAAUAUGAACAAACACUAAAGCAAAACCAGUUCCCUCUGUAAGAGUUGUGCAUCCAUAGGCCUACCUCUUCUAAGACGAGAAAAUAACUCCCACGUUUUAAAGAAAGGGAGAAGAGUCUCAGCUUUUUUGGUCAAGUAUCCCUUAUAUCCACUUUAUAGAUGAAGAAAUUGAGCCAGAGAGGUGAACAGCCUGCCUAGUAUAACACAGAGCUUUUAGAGAUCUUCAUAAUAAAAGGACAAGAUCAGCAAGAUGAUGAAGUAGUUGUUUUCAAUAUUCCACUUUAACCUGACAACUUCAAAAGGAAGGAAAUACACACCAAAUCUAGCAUAAUUAAAGCGGAAUCUGAAAGGUUCAGGAUAACCCUAUCAUUGGAGAGGUCCUCCCAGAUCCCCCAAUAUUUAAGGAUGCCACCAAGGGAAUUCUCAUCAUUCCCUACCCAGAUACUUUCUUGAACUUCUUAUCAUCUCAAGAAACUCAUCAUUCUACAAGAUUAACUAGGAUUAACUCUUUCCCUUAAUUUCCUACCCAAGCUGCAUGACUUCAUCACAUACUUUGACUGGGUAAAGAGGGAGAAUCCUUUCUCUUUUCAACUUUUUAUGUGUUGUCUUCCCCAUUAACCUGUGAGCUCCUGGAGGACUGAGGCUGUCAUGCCUUUCUUUGUUACCUCCCUUCCCCUUAAAACAUAGUGACUAGCACAUAGGAGACAUUUAAUAAAUGUUUAUUAACUCUUGUUAA